rnacentral:tRNA from 1 species
GCCGGCAUAGCUCAGUUGGUAGAGCAGGGCAUUCGUAAUGCUCAGGUCAGGGGUUCGACUCCCUUUGCCGGCU